CUCCAGCACAUUAGCUAGGGGGUCUCUCCUGGCUUCAGAGGGUCUUAUGCAUGCAGCCCCUGAAACUUGGGAGCCACGCUAGGAGAUCCCCAGGGCAUCAUGUAGACUGCAGGCUGCUUGUCUGGAGAACUGAGAAUGAAAUGACCAGAAGCACUAGUCACUGAGAAGGGGGACAGCUCCAGGAAGAACAGGGAGUUCACACCAGCUGGGAGUGUGCUUGCUUCCCGCCCACCCACAGCUCCUGGGGCAAACAAAUUCUUGGCGAGCAGGAAGUCCUCCCUGAUUUUCUGGCCAGAAGAAAUCACUCCCUACUUGUACUCAAAGGAAGAAUUUCCUGCCCCACCCUCCUAGAAAAAAAGUUUGGAAACUUGUGCUAGUGUUUCCCAACCAGACUAUGGAAUGGCUGCGAAACUGAGUCUUUCAGAGGAGCUUGACUUUCCCUGCCACGGAGCUCCAUCUCCCAGGACACGGCUGCUGCUCUGCACUCUUUACAGAUAAAGGAAAUACAUUUAAGUGGACCCAAGAAGAAUGCAUCAGUGACAAAGAGAACUCGACCAUGUUUCCAGGUUUCAGUAACUAAAGAUACCUAAGAUCGCAUCUGUAUUCUUCCUCUCACUAGCUGCAGGCUCCUGGCCAAGCCUCACAUGCCACAAUUUCUUUGCAUGUAAAAUAUGGGAAUAUACUAACCUGGCUUGUUAUGUAAUUUAAAAUAAAAAUAA